UCUCCGUAGGUGAACCUGCGGAGGGAUCAUUACAGAGUUCUCGCCCUCGCGGGUAGAUCUCCCACCCACCGUUAUCGUUACUGUGUUGCUUUGGCGGGCCGCCGGGCCCCGCUCGGCCGCCGGCUCCGGCUGGCGCGCGCCCGCCAGAGGCCCAGCAAACUCUGAAUGUUAGUGUCGUCUGAGUACUAUAUAAUAGUUAAAACUUUCAACAACGGAUCUCUUGGUUCUG
rnacentral:misc_RNA from 1 species